rnacentral:rRNA from 1 species
AUUGAACGCUGGCGGAAUGCUUUACACAUGCAAGUCGAACGGCAGCACGGACUUCGGUCUGGUGGCGAGUGGCGAACGGGUGAGUAAUGUAUCGGAACGUGCCCAGUCGUGGGGGAUAACGUAGUGAAAAUUACGCUAAUACCGCAUACGAUCUAUGGAUGAAAGCGGGGGAUCGCAAGACCUCGCGCGAUUGGAGCGGCCGCUAUCAGAUUAGGUAGUUGGUGGGGUAAAGGCCCACCAAGCCAACGAUCUGUAGCUGGUCUGAGAGGACGACCAGCCACACUGUAACUGAGACCCGGUCCAGACUCCUACGUGAGGCAGCAGUGGGGAAUUUUGGACAAGGGGCGAAAGCCUGAUCCAGCCAUUCCGCGUGCAGGAUGAAGGCCCUCGGGUUGUAAACUGCUUUUGUACAGAACGAAAAGGUUUCUACUAAUACUAGGAGCUCAUGACGGUACUGUAAGAAUAAGCACCGGCUAACUACGUGCCAGCCGCCGCAGUAA